rnacentral:rRNA from 1 species
GGCACUACGGUGCUGAAGCAACAAAUGCCCUGCUUCCAGGAAAAGCCUCUAAGCAUCAGGUAACAUCAAAUCGUACCCCAAACCGACACAGGUGGUCAGGUAGAGAAUACCAAGGCGCUUGAGAGAACUCGGGUGAAGGAACUAGGCAAAAUGGUGCCGUAACUUCGGGAGAAGGCACGCUGAUAUGUAGGUGAAGCGACUUGCUCGUGGAGCUGAAAUCAGUCGAAGAUACCAGCUGGCUGCAACUGUUUAUUAAAAACACAGCACUGUGCAAACACGAAAGUGGACGUAUACGGUGUGACGCCUGCCCGGUGCCGGAAGGUUAAUUGAUGGGGUUAGCGGUAACGCGAAGCUCUUGAUCGAAGCCCCGGUAAACGGCGGCCGUAACUAUAACGGUCCUAAGGUAGCGAAAUUCCUUGUCGGGUAAGUUCCGACCUGCACGAAUGGCGUAAUGAUGGCCAGGCUGUCUCCACCCGAGACUCAGUGAAAUUGAACUCGCUGUGAAGAUGCAGUGUACCCGCGGCAAGACGGAAAGACCCCGUGAACCUUUACUAUAGCUUGACACUGAACAUUGAGCCUUGAUGUGUAGGAUAGGUGGGAGGCUUUGAAGUGUGGACGCCAGUCUGCAUGGAGCCGACCUUGAAAUACCACCCUUUAAUGUUUGAUGUUCUAACGUUGGCCCCUGAUCGGGGUUGCGGACAGUGUCUGGUGGGUAGUUUGACUGGGGCGGUCUCCUCCUAAAGAGUAACGGAGGAGCACGAAGGUUGGCUAAUCCUGGUCGGACAUCAGGAGGUUAGUGCAAUGGCAUAAGCCAGCUUGACUGCGAGCGUGACGGCGCGAGCAGGUGCGAAAGCAGGUCAUAGUGAUCCGGUGGUUCUGAAUGGAAGGGCCAUCGCUCAACGGAUAAAAGGUACUCCGGGGAUAACAGGCUGAUACCGCCCAAGAGUUCAUAUCGACGGCGGUGUUUGGCACCUCGAUGUCGGCUCAUCACAUCCUGGGGCUGAAGUAGGUCCCAAGGGUAUGGCUGUUCGCCAUUUAAAGUGGUACGCGAGCUGGGUUUAGAACGUCGUGAGACAGUUCGGUCCCUAUCUGCCGUGGGCGCUGGAGAACUGAGGGGGGCUGCUCCUAGUACGAGAGGACCGGAGUGGACGCAUCACUGGUGUUCGGGUUGUCAUGCCAAUGGCACUGCCCGGUAGCUAAAUGCGGAAGAGAUAAGUGCUGAAAGCAUCUAAGCACGAAACUUGCCCCGAGAUGAGUUCUCCCUGACUCCUUGAGAGUCCUGAAGGAACGUUGAAGACGACGACGUUGAUAGGCCGGGUGUGUAAGCGCAGCGAUGCGUUGAGCUAACCGGUACUAAUGAACCGUGAGGCUUAACCUUACAACGCCGAAG